rnacentral:hammerhead_ribozyme from 1 species
GCACUACUGAGGAGUCCCGCAAUAGGACGAAACGGCCGUCCAGUGU